GAGGCGAACCGGGGGAACUGAAACAUCUAAGUACCCCGAGGAAAAGAAAUCAACCGAGAUUCCGAAAGUAGCGGCGAGCGAAAUUGGACUAGCCCUUAAGCUUUACACGCGUUAGACGAACGGUCUGGAAAGUCCGACGAUACAGGGUGAUAGUCCCGUAGUUGACGACGUGUGUUCAGUGAAAUCGAGUAGGGCGGGACACGUGAUAUCCUGUCUGAAUAUGGGGGGACCAUCCUCCAAGGCUAAAUACUACUGACUGACCGAUAGUGAACCAGUACCGUGAGGGAAAGGCGAAAAGAACCCUUGUCCUGUGACUGCGUACCUUUUGUAUAAUGGGUCAGCGACUUAUAUUCAGUGGCAAGGUUAACCAUCUAGGGGAGCCGUAGGGAAACCGAGUCUUAACUGGGCGUUCAGUCUCUGGAUAUAGACCCGAAACCAGGUGAUCUAGCCAUGGGCAGGUUGAAGGUUGAGUAACAUCAACUGGAGGACCGAACCGACUAAUGUUGAAAAAUUAGCGGAUGACUUGUGGCUAGGGGUGAAAGGCCAAUCAAACCUGGAGAUAGCUGGUUCUCCCCGAAAGCUAUUUAGGUAGCGCCUCGGACGAAUACUACUGGGGGUAGAGCACUGUUAAGGCUAGGGGGUCAUCCCGACUUACCAACCCUUUGCAAACUCCGAAUACCAGUAAGUACUAUCCGGGAGACACACGGCGGGUGCUAACGUCCGUCGUGGAGAGGGAAACAACCCAGACCGCCAGCUAAGGUCCCAAAUUACUACUAAGUGGGAAACGAUGUGGGAAGGCUCAGACAGCCAGGAUGUUGGCUUAGAAGCAGCCAUCAUUUAAAGAAAGCGUAAUAGCUCACUGGUCGAGUCGGCCUGCGCGGAAGAUGUAACGGGGCUAAGUAGUAAACCGAAGCUGCGGCAAUACUCUUUGAGUAUUGGGUAGGGGAGCGUUCUGUAAGCGGUUGAAGGUGUGUGGUAACGCAUGCUGGACGUAUCAGAAGUGCGAAUGCUGACAUGAGUAACGAUAAAGGGGGUGAAAAACCUCCUCGCCGGAAGACCAAGGGUUCCUGUCCAACGUUAAUCGGGGCAGGGUAAGUCGACCCCUAAGGCGAGGCCGAAAGGCGUAGUCGAUGGGAAACGGGUUAAUAUUCCCGUACUUCUUACAAUUGCGAUGGGGGGACGGAGAAGGCUAGGUGGGCCUGGCGACGGUUGUCCAGGUUCAAGUGCGUAGGCUUAAGAGUUAGGUAAAUCCGGCUCUUUCUAAGGCUGAGACACGACGUCGAGCUACUACGGUA
rnacentral:rRNA from 1 species